AAUCUAUCCCGGCAUCCCAUCUGAUCCUCGUCUUCUCCUCUCCGCGAAGCCAAAGCCAAACCCUAGAAAGCUACCCACCCUAGCUCUGCCGUCGCCGAGAUCUCGCAUCUCGCUCCCAUGGCGGCGCCCAAGCCCAUCUGGGUCCGCCAGGCCGAGGAGGCCAAGCUCAAGUCCGAGGCCGACACCGCCGCCGCCGCCAAGGCCGCCUUCGACGCCACCUUCAGGGCCCUCUCCGCGACCGCCCACGCCGACCAGUCCCCCCAGGCCGACCCGGAGCGCCACGACAGGCCCUCCUCCCCCGCCGAGCCCGCCUUCCGCCCCGACCCCGAAUCCGACUCCGACUCCGACGACCGCCCCCGCGCCCCUCCCGGCCCCGUCGACCCCUCCAAGUCCUCCGCCGCGGGCCCAGGCAUCGCCGGCGGCUCCGCGGGCGCGCCCGCCACCUUCACCGUCGUCGGGAAGGACCGCGACGGGCGCAGGGUCUCCGUGGGCGGCGCCCGCGUCCGCGUCCGCAUCUGCCCCGCGGCUGGCGUCGGUGGCGACGACCUAGAUGGCGGCGUCAGGGACAACGGCGACGGAUCCUACGCCGUCACCUACGCAGUCCCCAAGCGCGGCAACUACAUGGUCCACAUCGACCUCGACGGCGCUCCCAUCAUGGGGAGCCCCUUCCCUGUCUUCUUCAGCGCUGCCACCGCCGCCUCCGCCGCGGCAGCCUUCCCCACCACCUCGUCCGCUUACCCUGCCGCCUCGUCCGCGUACCCCAAUAUGCUCAACCAGACCAUGCCCAACAUGCCAAACUACGCCGGCUCCAUGCCCGGUUCCUUCCCGGGCUUGCUCGGCCUCAUCCCUGGUGCCUCCUCUGGCGCUUCUGGUGGUGUCGUCCUGCCAGGCGUUGGUUCCACGUUGGGUGAGAUAUGCCGGGAGCACAUCAAUGGGAAGUGCACCAAGGGAACGGACUGCAAGUUCAGCCACCCGCCACAGCAGCUGCUCAUGUCUGUCAUGGCUGCCACUACGUCCAUGGGUGCGCUCAGCCAUGCUCCCAUGGCGCCCUCCGCGGCAGCCAUGGCAGCUGCUCAGGCUAUCAUGGCUGCUCAGGCGCUUCAGGCACAUGCUGCUAAGAUGCAAGCUGAUUCCAAAGCUGCAGAGCAGGCUUCAUCAGGUAUGACGGAAGCCGAGAAAGCUGAGACUCUGAAGAAAAUUGUUCAGAUUAGCAACCUGAGCCCAAUUCUUACGGUGGAGACCAUUAAGCAGCUAUUUGGGUACUGUGGCAAAGUUGUUGAUUGUACUAUCACAGACUCGAAACAUAUUGCUUAUGUGGAGUAUUCCAAACCAGAAGAAGCAACCGCUGCAUUGGCCCUCAGUAACGUGGAUGUUGGUGGUCGCCCCUUGAAUGUUGAGAUGGCUAAAUCUCUUCCUCAAAAAACUAGUAUUGCAAAUAGCAAUUUACCUAUGAUGAUGCAGCAAGCUGUUCAGAUGCAACAGCUGCAAUUCCAGCAGUCACUGAUGAUGCAGACGUCAAUAGCCGCUCAGCAGGCCGCUGUACGUGCAGCCACCAUGAAAAAUGCCACUGAUGCAGCAGCUGCACGGGCUGCUGAGAUAAGCAGGAAGUUGAAAGCAGAGGGCUUUGGUGGGGAAAGUGCGGAAGAAAAGGAUGCCAAAGAGAAGUCAAGAUCGCCAUCGCCCCCUUCUCGUAAAUCCAAGUCUCGGUCAAGAUCACCUAUCAAGUACCGUCGGAGUAGGCGGGAUCGCUCUUACUCUCCGCCAGUUAGACGCUCCCGGGAUCACCGAUCACGAUCUCCGUCGAGAUCUCACCACUCAAAGUAUGGCAGUGACCGAUCAUAUAGGGAUGAUAGGGACAAAUAUAGCAGGUCUGGGAGAAGAGAGAGUGACAGGUCUCGUGAUCAUUACUCAUCUAGUUCAAGGAGGAACAGGAGCAGAAGUAUAAGCCCGAGGUCUAAGAAGCCAUCAAGAGCUGAUUCUCGGUCACCGAAGCGGCAAAGGGAAGAAAGUUUAAGCCCAUCAAAAUCAAGAAGGUCAGCUCGUGCUGGUUCAAGGUCACCACGACAUCAUAAAGGAAGCAAGUCAUCACCAACACGUGAUCAGCGUUCUUCUCGUCGUAGCAGGCAUUCAAGAUCCAGAUCUCAAGAGAGAAAGCAUCGUAACAGUGAUAAGAAGGAUGUCAAAAAAUCUGAGGUGCAGGAUGACAAAAAAAGAUCUGAUAGAGGUACUAGAGGUGGCAAAGAUGAAAGGCCUGUAAAGGACGCAGUGGAUAAGAAUGCAGAUACUUCUGUUGUUGCUCAUAAAAGGAGUUCAUCUGUAUCUGAAGAUGAAUUGCUGGAUAUUGACAAUGGCAAUCACAAGAAAUCUAGACAUGAUGCUGCUGCUGCCGUGGAGUAUGACAAGAGGAAGAAUGAAGACAGUAUUGAGGAUGUGGAUUCUCCAAGGUCAAAAUCUGAGAAGAGAAGCUUGGUAGAGGAUGGUGAUAAUAUUCAGAAACAUGACACAAGUAGGAGUACUAAGAUGAAGACAGAUGGCAAGAAGUAUGACAAAGACGAUUCUUCUCGCAAGGACAGAAAAUACAGAGAAGAUGAAUCAAGACAUUCCAGAGAUAAAAGUUCGCGUCAUUCAUCUUCACGGUCCCAUAGAAGUUCAAGGCAUUCCGGGGAUAAAUAUCAUAGGGAUGUUACUGACCAGCAUGAGUCGAAGAAAUCAGAAGAGGGCACUCGAGCUAGGAAAUACAAUUCCCUUGAUGAUCCCUUGUCUUCAGAUAAAAAGAACCUUCAUAAAGGGAGGUCUCCAGAUAGGAUGGUUAAUCAGUCGGAAGCUGGUUCAGACUCUGAUGGCUUCAAGCAUGACACUGAAGUUAGGCUGCGAAAUGCUUCAUUAGAAGGAGCUGAUCUGGUCAUCCAGGAAGACCAGCAAUUUCCUGAUGAAACUGGUACAGAUAAAUGCUCAGCAGAUGCUCUAUUGCCUGCAUCAAAGCAGAGAGCCGAGGAAGAUAUGUGCUCUACUGUGUCCGACAUUAAUGGGCAACAUGGACUUGAAGGAGAUGGCGCUUUAGGGGGCACCGAAGAGUCUGCCAUGUGAUAUUAACCACAGUGUUUACCUGCCACAUCGUUCAGUUGGCUGAUUGCAGAGUCUACUCAUACAAUGGAUGCAUUGCUGAACUGGUGUUUGUUAUCUCCUCUCUGAUUUAGGAGUUUUAUUUGCAGGAUAUGAAGAUCUUUUGGAGAGCUUCAGUGCCAACCAGAGUGUUCAUCUGAUCUAUAAAAAUGCUUGUGAAGAGUUGGAGCUGAUUCUGCGGUGUGAAUUGAAGAUUCAAGGGAGUGCGCACUUAUCCAUACUCAAGGGCUCGCUUGAGAAGGCAGUGUCUGACUGAUGUGAGGCAAUUGUUGAUAAAGUCGGAACAUUUACUCCAGGGUGUUCCCUUGAUAGUUCCAGAGAUAAGCAGCAUGCCUUCAAAUAUUAUUAUUCCUUGUCUUCUUUUUGCUCUUGCACAUGUUUGUUCGUUUCGGAAGAAGCACCUGUCCUCUGCAAAGAGUAACUUUGCUAGUUACUGCUCACCUGCUAUGACUGGUGCUGUGGUUGGAAAAACAUGUGCAGGUUUCUUGAAAGCUGGUUGCCGUUGGAACUUGGAACAUGUUUGGGAGGGGACAGGACAUGCUAACUUUAAAAGCUGCUUUGUGUGUAGAAGAGGAUGGCUACAGUACAAUGGACAUAGCAAGCUUGUUCCAGGGAUCCGGAUCUUUAUAAGUACUGUACGUGCUAGAUCAUUUUUCUAGUCUCGCCCUGUCACUGGAUGAUUGAGUAGCGUCUAGCAGUUGACAGACUGAGCCAACUAAACAGUAUUGGCGAGUCACUGAUAAUGUGGUUGCUUGGAUCUAUCGAAUGAAUCUCUUGACAUUUGGUAAUGGGUUUGGGUUUUGGGUUGAUGUAUGAAUUAUAUGGGAGGCUUAGUUCUAAGAAAUACCAGUGUUAACUGUCUA